rnacentral:rRNA from 1 species
CGAAGUUGGAUUCGCUAGUAAUCGCGCAUCAGCCAUGGCGCGGUGAAUACCGUUCCCGGGCCUUGUACACACCGCCCGUCAAGCCAUGGGAGCCGGGGGCGCCUGAAGUCCGGGACCGCGAGGACCGGCCUAGGGCGAAACUGGUGACUGGGGNUAAGUCGUAACAAGGUACC